AUUUUUUUUGAACUUUUAAAAAUGAUGUUUAUUUAUAUUAGUUUUUAAUCAAAGAAAAACAUAUACAUAGUUAAAAAGAAAUCAAAUAAUGCUGCUGGAUUGGUAGUGAAAACCAGCAAACCUUUGCCUUUUCUCUACCCACCCCGAUUUCAUUUUUCCAGAGACAAUCACUUUUAACCCUUAGCAGUUUCUUAUUGUAGUUUUUGUUUUGUUUUGUUUUGUUUUGUUCUGAAAAGACAUGUGUAUACUGCUUUUUCUGGACUUUUCUACAACAGACCUUGAUUGGCUUGCCGCCAUUACACAAUCUCUCUUCUCUCCCAUCCUCCCAAUGUUAUAGAAUUAUUUCUUAUAAAAUCAAUAUUCAGUAAUUACAUAAUUAUGACUAACUUUAUAUGGCUAGUAUUGUUCACAGUUCAGAUAUACAGUGUAGUUUUUGAAUUUUUAUUUUUCCUGGGGUUCAUAAUUACCUCAGUUUUGUUUUCUUAACAAAAGAAAAAUUUGCAGAUCACUAAUUUAUCCCCAUGCUCUCUGGAAAAUGAAAGCUCUCUAGUCUAUAUUCAAAUACACCAGGUACUCUAUCAAUUUUUAUUUUUUCAAAUAUUCUACCUGAGUUCUCCAUCUUUAGGCAUUUCCUGUUGACUUCUUACUGUUCUCCCCUACCAUUCUCCCUCUUUAAUACAGUUAUAUUACUAUUUUAGAAACUUUAUGGUUACCUUGUAAGUAAUAAAUGUCUUUUCUCCCUCAACAACAGACCAUAUCUUUCAACUUCCCCCCGCCAACUUUUUUUUUUUUUUUUUUUUUUUUUUGAGACGGAGUUUCACUCUUGUUGCCCAGGCUGGAGUGCAAUGGCGUGAUCUCGGCCCACUGCAAACUCCAUCUCCCAGGUUCAAGCUAUUCUCCUGCCUCAGCCUCCCGAGUAGCUGGGAUUUCAGGCGCCCGCCAUCACACCCGGCUGAUUUUUGUAUUUUUGGUAGAGACGGAGUUUCACCAAGUUGGCCAGGCUGGUCUUGAACUCCUGACCUCAGGUGAUCCCCCCGCCUCGGCCUACCAAAGUGCUGGGAUUACAGGUGUGAGCCACUGUGCCUGGCUCAACUGUCCACUUUAUAAGGACACUAUCACCAUUCCAUUUACCUUUCUCUCUCUCCUUCAACGUUCCCACUUGUAUUUCCGCUGAUAUUUUUAAAAUAUGGCAGAUAACAUUUGCAUUCCACUUGGUAACCUUAAUUAAGUAGGCCCCUAAUCAAUAAAAAUCAUAAACAGGAUUUUUAUUUUACGGUUAUUUAAACGCUAUUCACUGAACAGCCAAGCUUUGUGCUAGGAAGGGAUUUCUUUUUCUUUGGCUCCAAGCUCUUGAUUGACAUCCUGCCACAGGAGCAUUGAAAUACAGCCCAUUUUCUUACACUCUCACCAUUCAUUCAAAAUCUUGCAGCAUUUUAUAUUUGGUACUUGGAGGAGGAUGCUUUUCCUGUACAGUUUUAUUUUUUUUCACCUAGUUUCUAAUUAUUAUUGUUUUCUCUUGUGGGAUGAAGAAGUAUAUGCCUUCUAUAUCAUAUCCUUAAUACCUUCAGCUUCUUCCUCCUUGAAGCCUUGCUUACGAUCCAAUCCAAUAUUCCUGAAGUUUACUGAUAUUUUUUUCCUGAAAAUUUUAGCCUUUAGAAAAAAAAAAGCGUUCUUUGCCCUUUUUCACAUCCUGAAAUUUGUCAGGUGUUUAUUUUAAGGUUGCAUAGUUUCUUAGAUCUUUUCAAGGUUCUUAACUGAAGUUCUCUGUUCCCGGAGUCGCAUAUUUCCUCUUUCUAGGAAUUGCAGGCUCUCCGUGCUCCCAGAGGAGUUCCACUGGCAGUGAAGAGCCCAGCCACGAAGGGCGCCUGAGCACUCUCAAGACUGUGGGACUCGAGGUAGGCAGCUCUGCUGCGCCGCGGGAGCCCCUGGGAGUCUGCCAUCAUGCUGUCCCGGGAGGCCGAGGCCGGCAGCUCAGUGGCGGCUCUAAAAGUGUACCUGCAAGCAGAUGUUGAGGAUCACAGAGCUAAUUGUAGUUGUGUCUUCAGAAGAAAUGAUGGUCAUGACCUCUGGAAAAUAAAUAAGAUAAAUUAAGAAAUUACUGAUACUCCUACUAAAUAGUUGGCCAGCUAAUUUCCUACCAACUCAGUUAGAUUCAAAUGAUAUAAACUAAUGAUAGAUAAAAGGAACAGGAGUAAUAUAAGAGUAUUCCUAAAAAGCAUAAUUAAUAAUAAUAAUUUCUAACUGUUUUUAAGAUAAAACUUUAAUUCUACUUAAAAAUAAUUUUUUACUGAUGUGGCAGUCUUCUUUCCCUGGAUAUAUAGUGGUUAAGAAAGAAUAAAAUUUCUCAAUAUCAAAACUUGUGUUUUCACCUCUAUCAUCAGUAUUGAAUGAAGUAUCUUUAGAUCCAGGGUGAAGCUGCUCUUAACUAGCUUCUAAAGAGUUCCUCAAUCUUUUUUUUUUUUUUUUUUUUUUUUGAGAC
rnacentral:lncRNA from 1 species